UACGAAGGGGGCUAGCGUUGUUCGGAAUUACUGGGCGUAAAGCGUGCGCAGGCGGCUUCUCAAGUCAGGGGUGAAAGCCCAGAGCUCAACUCUGGAAUUGCCUUUGAGACUGAGUGGCUUGAGUACGAGAGAGGUGAGUGGAAUUCCCAGUGUAGAGGUGAAAUUCGUAGAUAUUGGGAAGAACACCGGUGGCGAAGGCGGCGACCUGGUCCUUGACUGACGCUGAGGCGCGAGAGCGUGGGGAGCAAACAGG
rnacentral:rRNA from 1 species